rnacentral:rRNA from 1 species
UAGGGAAUCUUCCACAAUGGACGCAAGUCUGAUGGAGCAACGCCGCGUGAGUGAAGAAGGUUUUCGGAUCGUAAAGCUCUGUUGUUGGUGAAGAAGGAUAGAGGCAGUAACUGGUCUUUAUUUGACGGUAAUCAACCAGAAAGUCACGGCUAACUACGUGCCAGCAGCCGCGGUAAUACGUAGGUGGCAAGCGUUGUCCGGAUUUAUUGGGCGUAAAGCGAGCGCAGGCGGAAUGAUAAGUCUGAUGUGAAAGCCCACGGCUCAACCGUGGAACUGCAUCGGAAACUGUCAUUCUUGAGUGCAGAAGAGGAGAGUGGAACUCCAUGUGUAGCGGUGGAAUGCGUAGAUAUAUGGAAGAACACCAGUGGCGAAGGCGGCUCUCUGGUCUGCAACUGACGCUGAGGCUCGAAAAGCAUGGGUAGCGAACAGGAUUAGAUACCCUGGUAGUCCAUGCCGUAAAACGAUGAGCGCUAGGUGUUGGGGACUUUCCGGUCCUCAGUGCCGCAGCAAAACGC